AGCUGAGGGAGGGCCACACACUGGCAAGA
rnacentral:piRNA from 1 species